rnacentral:lncRNA from 9 species
AUGACCCUUGAUGCAAUAAGUACAGAAGAGAAUGAUGAUGAACAACAUGUGAGAAAUUUAAUGGAGACACAUCAGGAAAAUGACUAUGCCAUCAAUGAAAAAAAAAAUGCUCUGGAUAAUCUCUUAUUGUUGUUUCUCCCAACUGGAGCACCCUGAUAAAACCAGCAUUAUGGACAUGAUGUAUGUGCUUCCAAAUUGAGAUGAUGCAUUUUAAUUCUCUCAAUGCAUGGCAUGUACAGUGUGGUUCAACUUCAAAGGUAAACACUGGAGACAUACCUAAUUAGGUCUUUUCUUUACACAGCAUAGUAUUCUGGUGCGCAGGUUUAUGGCUGUCAAUAGUCUCGUGUACUCUUUCUUCCCCCUCCACUAAUGGGCUUUUUUUUUUUUUCACUUAUUUCUUUUUACUUCCCUUUUCCCUCCUCCUCCAUCUCCUUCUCCUCUUCGUCUUUUACUUUUAAUGAAUAGAUUGAUGGAAUAAUCCUUUUAUUUACGUAGGAUAAAAUUUUAAACUCAUGCAGUUUUUGAGCAGUAGAUUAUUAGGUUAGGGACACUUUAAAUUUAAAUCAAUAUCUAAACAACUUUUAAAAACCCCAGUAUUUCAUUUUGAAUAAUUACUGCCCUACAAACUAAACCAUUAUCCAUUUACAUAAUCUUCUUUGAAUUACAUGUUUGUAUUUUUGACAGGUGUUGAGUUGGCUGACUGUGUUCCCUGGGUAUCCACUGGUAGAUUGGUUCCAGGAGCCCCUGAAAAUACCAAAAUUCAGGAAUGUUCAAGUCCCGUGUAGAAAAUGGCACAGUAAGUGUAUUUAUCUUUUUCCAAAAUUUUCUGGAAUUCUUUGUAUAUUUACUGUAUUAUCUGAUUUCACCAUUCUACACAUGUCACAAAUAUUAGGUGAAAAAUUUUUUUGUCUUUUUACCUAUUCUGCCAUUAAAAUGUUUUAAUUUGUAAUGAAUGACAUUUGACAAUAUCUUUUUAAACAAUUUUUUCAUUUCUGUACUUGUUUGGAAAACUUUUUCAAUCCAUACAUUACAAAAAUAUUCUGCAUGUAUUCCCAAUUUUUAAUAUUAUUUUAAAAUGUCAUCCGAACUCUUUUUUAAUUUUUUCUUAAAUUUAUAUAGGUUAUUUGCCUCAAAAUACUUACUGAAUCAUCUAUUUCCUAAUGUGAUAAAUUAACAUACUCAUUUGAAUGAAUUAUAAACUCUAUAGUCCUUUGUGUCUAUUUCUCAACAUCAUCCAGUUACGAGUGCUGUGUGUCCCUGUAGCUUUAUAGCACAACUU